GUUAUAAUAAAAAUUUAUAAUGUAACCUGCCCAGUGAGAUAUAUACGAUAAAAAUAUUCUUAAACGGACGCAAGAAAUUGUGAUAAAGUAGCGUAAUCAUUUGCCUAUUAAUUGUAGGAUAGUAUGAAUGGUUGAACAAAAAAAUAAUUUUUUUUUUUAAUAGAAAUUAAAAUUAAUAUAAUAGUAAAGAAGCUAUUUAAUAUUAUAAGACGAUAAGACCCUAUAGAGCUUGACUAUAAGUAUAAUUCUAUUAUAUUUGGUAGUUUAUUUGGGGCGAAUAUAUUUUAUUUAUAACAAAUAAUAUAAACUUAUUGAAAAAUACAUUUUUAUUAAGUAAUAUGACCUAUUUUUUUUAAAAAAAUAAAUAAAUAAUCAUUGAAUAAAAGCUACCUUAGGGAUAACAGAACAAUCUUUUUUUGAAGUUCAUAUUCGAAAAAAGGCUUAUUACCUCGAUGUUGAAUUUAGUUGACCUUGAAAAUGUAGAAAUUUUAAAAGUGUUGUACUGUUCGUACAUUAAUAACUA
rnacentral:rRNA from 1 species